GUGUCAGCCGCCGCGGUAAUACGGAGGGUGCAAGCGUUAUCCGGAUUCACUGGGUUUAAAGGGUGCGUAGGUGGGCAGGUAAGUCAGUGGUGAAAUCUCCGAGCUUAACUCGGAAACUGCCAUUGAUACUAUCUGUCUUGAAUUAUCUGGAGGUGAGCGGAAUAUGUCAUGUAGCGGUGAAAUGCUUAGAUAUGACAUAGAACACCAAUUGCGAAGGCAGCUCACUACGGAUAUAUUGACACUGAGGCACGAAAGCGUGGGGAUCAAACAGGAUUAGAUACCCUUGUAGUCC
rnacentral:rRNA from 1 species